rnacentral:rRNA from 1 species
UACGGAGGAUCCAAGCGUUAUCCGGAAUCAUUGGGCGUAAAGAGCUCGUAGGCGGUUUGUCGCGUCUGCCGUGAAAGUCCGGGGCUUAACUCCGGAUCUGCGGUGGGUACGGGCAGACUUGAGUGAUGUAGGGGAGACUGGAAUUCCUGGUGUAGCGGUGAAAUGCGCAGAUAUCAGGAGGAACACCGAUGGCGAAGGCAGGUCUCUGGGCUGUUACUGACGCUGAGGAGCGAAAGCAUGGGGAGCGAACAGG